rnacentral:lncRNA from 1 species
GGUUUUUAUGGUUGUUUUGAAGAAAAUAUUUAUUGAGAUAAUAAACAAAUGAAUGGCCUUUCCCUCAGUGUACAAUCUUAAGCCCCCUUGGUCUUUUUGAGACAGGGUCUCAUCGUAUAGACCUGAUAGGCCUUGAACUCCCACAGAUUCAUCUACCUCCACCUCCCAGGUGCUGGGAUUAAAGGAAUGGGCUACCAUAUGCAGCAAGAACUUCUUUCUUUCCUCUGUUUUGAAGCAACAUUGGAACUUAUUAACAAAUGUUUUACUGUAGACAUAAACAGGGACAUCAAGAGAGAGGGAGAGAUAAGCACAUUUAGGAGGAGGACAGCCCUUAGAGUAAUUGAGGGCUCUCAAGAAGUGUUACAUUUAAUUGUCUUAACAAUAGCAAUAAGUGUGAUCUUUGGAUGCUUCUGAAAUGUUUAUUCAAAGCAUUUAGAAAAUUAAAAAAAAAACAAACACAUGUUUUGGUA